rnacentral:rRNA from 1 species
AGGCAGCAUAGGGAAUUUUCGUCAAUGGGGGCAACCCUGAAACGAGGCCAAUGCCGCGUGAGCGAAGAAGGUCUUCGGAUUGUAAAGCUCUGUUGCCGGGGAAAAAGGAAGGAAAGAGGAAAUGCUUUUCUUUGGAUGGUACCCGGCCAGAAAGUCACGGCUAACUACGUGCC